rnacentral:rRNA from 1 species
AUGAAGGGAUGCAUGCUCUUCAUCUUGCAGAACUGCAUGUUCUUCAUCUUUGUAUGCCCCAUGGUGAUCGACGAGGACUACUGCGGCCCGAUGGGAGUCGUGCUCUUCAACUACUCGGAGGCAGACUUCACCGUGAAGCCCCGCGACCGUGUCAUAGAGAUUAUCGUCCAGGUGAUUGCGACGCAGGAGGUCCCCGGGGUGGAGGACCUCGACGCCACCGUUCGGAGGUCACAGAGGUGGAGGACGACGCCACGGUCCGGAGUUCCUCAAGGAUACAUGGCUAGCAAUGAUCAAGGACAGGGUUCUGGUGAUUGCGACGACGUCUACCGGGCGGCAGACAAAUUUUUGAUCCUUGCUGACGAUCAACCGAUGUUGUUGUUGGGCCCACCAGUGGCAUCGGGGACUGAGACCGACACGCAGACCGGUGCUGAGACUGAGACCGCCGCUGAGACUCAGACCGGCAUCGAGACUGGCGCUGAGACUGAGACCGAUGCUGCCUCGGGGAGCAGAGCCGGUGUAGAACCGAAAGAAAAGAGGCAACGGCUUCCUAACAAACUCAGGACUACUAGACUGGUGGUCACGGAGGUGGACGACGGCAAUUUUGAGCCAAAGGCACUCAGGGAAGCGCGCUCGUGCUACGGCAAUCAAAUUGGAUGCAUCGUACGGACAACCGCCACCAUCAAUGAUGAGAAACUACAGAAGAUAGAUAAUAUGAGGCCCUCCCUCCUAAAGAAGUUUCAUCAAAUAUUCUUGUUCCCGGGCCGGAAUGAAAAGGAUUAUGAAGAUCCAGAUAAUGACCCAGCAAUGAAGAAGAUAAACAAACACGCCAUGACCAAGUUUAGCGACGCGUUGGCCGCUUGGAAAACAAGGUGGGAGAGCAGUUUCAAAUAUUCAAGGAGGCUUGCAAGGCCGAAGCAGCCAAAAAAUUCUAAGUACAUGAAGGGGCUUCAAGAGAGGAACAUUGGGAGCCACAGCCAAAAAAAUUCUAAGUACAUGAAGGGGCUUCAAGAGAGGAACAUUGGGAGCCACCACCUCGGAAGUUAUGGUUAUGGCGGAAAGAGGUCCAAAUGGGCCAAGGAGGACGCGGAAGCCGCAAGUCUGGGCAUCCCAGACCCCUUGGCGGAGUUCACCGUCCCAUAG